rnacentral:rRNA from 1 species
UACAGAGGUCUCAAGCGUUGUUCGGAUUCAUUGGGCGUAAAGGGUGCGUAGGCGGCGUGGUAAGUCGGGUGUGAAAUCUCGGAGCUUAACUCCGAAACUGCAUUCGAUACUGCCGUGCUUGAGGACUGGAGAGGAGACUGGAAUUUACGGUGUAGCAGUGAAAUGCGUAGAUAUCGUAAGGAAGACCAGUGGCGAAGGCGGGUCUCUGGACAGUUCCUGACACUGAGACACGAAGGCCAGGGGAGCAAACGGG